rnacentral:rRNA from 1 species
CCUACGGGGGGCUGCAGUGGGGAAUAUUGGACAAUGGGGGGAACCCUGAUCCAGCCAUGCCGCGUGUGUGAAGAAGGCCCUCGGGUUGUAAAGCACUUUCAGUGAGGAAGAACGCCUGGUGGUUAAUACCCAUCAGGAAAGACAUCACUCACAGAAGAAGCACCGGCUAACUCCGCGCCAGCAGCCGCGGUAAUACGGAGGGUGCGAGCGUUAAUCGGAAUUACUGGGCGUAAAGCGCGCGUAGGUGGCUUGAUAAGCCGGUUGUGAAAGCCCCGGGCUCAACCUGGGAACGGCAUCCGGAACUGUCAAGCUAGAGUGCAGGAGAGGAAGGUAGAAUUCCCGGUGUAGCGGUGAAAUGCGUAGAGAUCGGGAGGAAUACCAGUGGCGAAGGCGGCCUUCUGGACUGACACUGACACUGAGGUGCGAAAGCGUGGGUAGCAAACAGGAUUAGAUACCCGAGUAGUC